rnacentral:rRNA from 1 species
CCUACGGGUGACAGCAGUGGGGAAUAUUGGGCAAUGGAGGAAACUCUGACCCAGCAAUGCCGCGUGAAUGAAGAAGGUCUUCUGAUUUUAAAGUUCUUUAGUCAGGGAAGAAAUCAGUGACGGUACCUGAAUAAUACGCUCCGGCUAAAUACGUGCCAGCAGCCGCGGUAAUACGUAGGGAGCAAGCGUUGUUCGGAAUGACUGGGCGUAAAGGGUGCGUAGGCGGUUGUACAAGUUAGAAGUGAAAUACCCAGGGCUUAACUCGGGUGCUGCUUCUAAAACUGUAGGACUUGAGUGCAGUAGAGGUUAGUGGAAUUCGUAGUGUAGCGGUGGAAUGCGUAGAUAUUAGGAGGAACACCAGAGGCGAAGGCGGCUAACUGGAGUGUAACUGACGCUGAGGCACGAAAGUGUGGGGAGCAAACAGGAUUAGAUACCCUUGUAGUC